UACGUAGGGGGCAAGCGUUGUCCGGAAUCAUUGGGCGUAAAGAGCGUGUAGGCGGCUCGGUAAGUCCGCUCUGAAAGCCCGGGGCUCAACCCCGGGAGGCGGGCGGAUACUGUCGGGCUAGAGUCCGGAAGAGGCGAGUGGAAUUCCUGGUGUAGCAGUGAAAUGCGUAGAGAUCAUGAGGAAGACCAGUGGCGAAGGCGGGUCUCUGGACAGUUCCUGACACUGAGGCACGAAGGCCAGGGGAGCAAACGGG
rnacentral:rRNA from 1 species